rnacentral:rRNA from 1 species
AGAGUUUGAUCAUGGCUCAGGAUGAACGCUGGCGGCGUGCUUAACACAUGCAAGUCGAACGCACCUUCGGGUGAGUGGCGGACGGGUGAGUAACGCGUGGGAAUCUGGCCCUAGGAGGGGGACAACGGUUGGAAACGGCCGCUAAUACCCCAUAUGGCGAGAGCUGAAAUGAAUUUUCGCCUGGGGAUGAGCCCGCGUCUGAUUAGCUAGUUGGUGGGGUAAAUGCUCACCAAGGCAUCGAUCAGUAGCUGGUCUGAGAGGACGAUCAGCCACACUGGGACUGAGACACGGCCCAGACUCCUACGGGAGGCAGCAGUGGGGAAUUUUCCGCAAUGGGCGAAAGCCUGACGGAGCAACGCCGCGUGAGGGAUGAAGGCCUUUGGGCUGUAAACCUNUUCUC